GGGCGUGGGUGCUGGUAGGACUCUCCCUUCCUUCUACACAGCCGCCCCUGCUGUUCACUCUGCUGGGCGUGGGCUAUCUAUAUCAUUUACUUUGAAAGCAUUAGGGUGGUUAAUGCUCGCUUAUGCCCGAAUGCAUUAACAUGGAAUAAUAAAAUAGGACUUCUGUUCUAUUUUGUUGGUCUCUAGAACUGAAAUAAUGAUUGAUAGGGAUAGUUGGGGGUGCUAUGAUUCAGGGGACAUUCGUGAAUUUCUUGGAUACACUGAACACUAACUACUGCGAAAGCAUUCACCACGGAUGUGUUCUCUAAUCAAGAACGAAAGUUGGGGGAUCGAAGACGAUCUGAGACCCUCGUAGUCUCAACCAUAAACUAUACCGAGUAAGGAUCAGUGGAGGUGUUAUUUUGACUCCAUUGGCACUCUAUGAGAAAUCAAAGUCUUUGGGUUCCCCGGGGAGUAUAGUGGCAAGGGUGAAAAUCAAAGAAAUUGACGGAAGGGCACCCCCCGGAGGGGAGCCCGCGGCUUAAUUUGACUCAACACGGGAAAAAUCUCCAGGUCCAGACAUAGUGAGAAUAGACAGAGAGAAGAUCUUUCUUGAUUAUAUGGGUGGUGGUGCAUGGCCGUUGUUAGUUGGUGGAGUGAUUAGUCGGGUUAAUUCCGUUAACGAACGAGACCUCGACCUACUAAAUAGAGGUCGAAGCCUUUGGCAGGCGGUUACUUUUUAGAGGGACCAUCGG
rnacentral:rRNA from 1 species